rnacentral:rRNA from 1 species
AUGAACGCUGGCGGCGUGCCUAAUACAUGCAAGUCGAGCGAACAGACGAGGAGCUUGCUCCUCUGACGUUAGCGGCGGACGGGUGAGUAACACGUGGAUAACCUACCUAUAAGACUGGGAUAACUUCGGGAAACCGGAGCUAAUACCGGAUAAUAUAUUGAACCGCAUGGUUCAAUAGUGAAAGACGGUUUUGCUGUCACUUAUAGGUGGAUCCGCGCCGCAUUAGCUAGUUGGUAAGGUAACGGCUUACCAAGGCGACGAUGCGUAGCCGACCUGAGAGGGUGAUCGGCCACACUGGAACUGAGACACGGUCCAGACUCCUACGGGAGGCAGCAGUAGGGAAUCUUCCGCAAUGGGCGAAAGCCUGACGGAGCAACGCCGCGUGAGUGAUGAAGGUCUUCGGAUCGUAAAACUCUGUUAUUAGGGAAGAACAAAUGUGUAAGUAACUAUGCACGUCUUGACGGUACCUAAUCAGAAAGCCACGGCUAACUACGUG